GACGCCGCGAGUGCCAGGAACACCGCGCUGCUGGUCACGGCGGGCGCCGCGGGGACGGCGCUGCUCGUGGCGUUCCUCGCCGCGGCGCUGCC
rnacentral:tRNA from 1 species